AAUAGUCUAAUACAUUUUUAUGAUUUUCCAACUAGGGUUUGAAACCCCUCUAACCCAAGCAGUCGUCACCCCCUCUUUUGUCCCUUCCCCAUUUCGAUACAAUUCUAGCUGUUGUCAGAUGCAAGACCAAAAGUGUUACACCAUUUCCGUGCAAGCUCUGUUACACCUACUUCAACAUAUCACAAGACCCAUAUGAAGCCAAAAACAUAGCAGACCCGAAUUCAGUCCAAAAUCUCACCAUUUUGAGUACAAAUCUGACCAAAUCACGUGAACGGGCUUCAACUACAUUUCAAAAACUCUAGCCUCAAAAUCCCGCCCAAAUGAAGCCCUAGUUCUUGUUCUCCUAUAAAUACAUCUUUAACUCUUCAGCCAAAAAAAGAGAGGCGGGAAUGAUGAAAAAUCUCUCAUUUAAGCUAUUGUUACUUUUCUACUAGUUCUAAAAGAAAACUUUGGCAUUUUAUUAUUCUCAAUCGCUGAGCGUUUCGACUUUAUUCGAAGAAGAGUGGAUCUGAGACCACAAAGCCUCUGUUCACUGCACCCACAAGAGGUAAUAUUCGUUUCUUUCUAUUUAAUCUCUUCUAUUCAAUAAUGAUGCGUUCAGAAAUCAUGUAGUAAUAGACAUUUGUUACUAUCGUGAUACGUUCAAACCUAUUUUAAGAUCAGUGUAAAUUGCUUAUGUCAAAAAUGACCAUGUUUGAAAUACUAUAAUCGUGUUUAGAGUAUUCUUUCUCUAGCUGAAUCAAAAAAUAUAAAUGAGUUAUGUUUAUGUUUUGGUUGGUGUCAAAUGUGACUUUAGAGCUGUUGUUUUAGGAAUCUUUCUCUAAAUCCCGGAUGUUGUUUGGCCUGUGAUUUUAAUUUUGUUUUUCCGAAAGAUGUAGGAUACUUAUUUUUGUGGUUAAAUAUGUGAUAAGAGUAUAUGACUUGAACUUUCUUUUAUUUCAAAGUUAGAGAUCCUACAUGUACGUUUAGUUAAAUUGGUUGAAAUAUAUUUAAACAUCAUUACAGUUGGAUAUGCAAAUCUGGAUAUUGACAAGUUGUAUUAAAAACAUGACUUAGGAUUAUAUGCAAUUGACUUUGACGCUCAUUUUUAGUAAUGCCUGAUGUUAUAAUCGGUCUCUUACGCUGUCUCAAAAAAUGCAAACUUUGUUUACUCCUUACUCUGAUCUUUACUUUAUUUGUCAUUCGGAAAAAACUUAUUUUAGGGUCUCACUGAAUAGAGAAUGAAGUAUUUAUAUUCUAAUUAGAGAAUUACUUCAGAACCUUUCUAUUAGCAAGAGUUGGAUUUUUUUAUGGUUCUAGUUAUCAUGAUAUUUACAAGUAUUUGUUUCAAAGCUGUGCAUUUCUUCUCUGUUUUUAAUAUUGGCUAAAAAGCAUAUGUUCCUCUCUAACUCGUGUCUACUUUUUUUUCUUUUCACAUGAAUACCGGAGCCGAAGAGUCUUGUUUUGAGACUCAAUGACGCCGCACACGAAGUUAUCCUCAUCAAUUUACCCAUACCCGUAAUCUACCAUGGGAUAUGUCCUGGAGACCAUGGAGAUAUUGUUGAAGAGCUCCAUCUUCCUUUACGAUUCAUGUUAUAGAUACAAACUUUGUUGUGUGCCUUUAACUGUUGCAGUUCAUAUAAGAAUACAUUCAUUGCUUGUUUGACUCCCUACUUGUGGUGAGCAUCUAGUUAAUAAUUUAACUUCAUAGGGAUAAUAUAGGUAUUGCCUCUAGAAUAAACCAUUUAGUAUUUUACAACGUUCAGCUCCCUUUCUUUCUUUCUUUUUCCCCGCAAAAAUCCUAUCUUUUAAAUCAGUAUUGAGUUUAUGUUUUCAAGACUUUAAUAAGUUAAAGGGUGAGCAGAUCUUUGAGUUUAUUUAAGUCAAACUUUGGAGCCUUGAUUUAUUUAGAAAAUUGUUUGCAAAUGGCAUAAAGUCCAGUCAUUGUUUUUGGCCUAACUUGCAUGUUGGAUUACUUUAAUGAUUCUCUCAACGAGGAACUUAAUUUCUAUACGAAGCCAUAUUUUAAAAUAUUGAUUACCUUUUUUUUUUUGUUACUCUUAAUCCUUGAAUUUAUAUGUAAAAGUGUUUUAGCUCAACAUCACAUUUUUAUAACGUCCAUUGGAUUUAUAUGCAAAGUUAGUCACUACCAAUUACUUUAAAUACUAACCCCAUCUUGUUUUGUAAUUGACCGAUUGUUUUAAGCAUUACUACUUAUAUUUUACAAGGCCGUUUUAUUAAAAUUAAGUCCGGUCGGUUAAUCAUUUUUAAUGGAUCUUAAAGGAUGCUUAAUACAUUUUCUUUAGAUUAAUUGAACUCUUACCUAGAAUCUUUUGGUUUCGUAGACUUUAAAACGGAGUAACUUUAGACAAUUACUUUAAUCAACUUUAGGUGCUCUAAUUCAUCAUAAAUAAUUAGGUGGCGACUCCUUUUACUUUAAUUAACCCCGGAAUUACCGGAAUGUUGUAAACCAUUUUGACUUUGGUUAAAACGGGGUAUAACAGCUUGGCGACUCCGCUGGGGAAUUGUUAUAUCCCGCAUUUUGUACGUUCAGAUGAUUCAAGGUAAUCGCGGGAAGUUAGAAGCAAGGCCAUAUUUUUAUUUUGUUUAGCACACAAGUUGCUUAUGAAAAAAUUUUGAAAUGGAAAUAUUAAGAAAGGCUAGGGGCAAAAAGAAAAAUUCGCAAUAUGACUUGUGGAAAUAUGGAGGAAGGCGAAGGGUAAAUUUGGAAUUUGAAAAAAAAAAAAAAUCAUGAAGUGCAAAACAAAAAAAUAGGCUUGGAAAUUAAAAGGGGCCAUUUGGGCCGUUCCAUUUGGAGUGGGCUUAGGCCCACCUAGAAGUUUAAUGGACAAAUAAAAAGAUGACUAAGUCAUCUUAUUCAUUUUAUUCCCUAGAAAUUUCAAGAACUUUAAAGAACAAAAGAGAAGGAGAAAGAACAAGAGGCCAUUCGGCCCUAUGCAAUCCAACAAGAACCUUGGAAAAAAAAGUUCAUCAAAAAUUAUUUUCUUCUAGCUAAACAAUCCAUUGAAGGGUCCUUAGCAAAGUGAAGUGGUUAUUGGAGCAAGAAAAACAUAUAUUCAUACAAGUUGCAAAUUCUAGCCAAGUGAAGAAUCAAGGAAAAAGAUUCUGGGAAGGCCAAGAGUUAAGUCGGAUUGACUAAGGAAGCAGACAAGGUAAGCAGGUAGACGGGUUCGAUUCCUAGGAGCUCCACCAGCGGUACAUUGAGAGCGCUCCAGUUGUUCCAGCGCUUCAGUUUAUUGGUACUACUUUUGUGUACAUACUCGGGCACGGCAGAACCCGACCCUCCUUGUGAUUAUAUGUAUCUGGUUUAAAGGCUCGUAGACAGAUAUGUACAGUCAGAUGUUUCGCAACCUUGUUUGUCCUUGACGCUGUAUAAUAUAUUAGUAAAGUUUAUUACCACUUGUUUACGAGUAUGCUAUUAAUGAUGGUGUCGAGUAAAGAAAUGACGAUAUUGUUCAUACGGCCCACUCAGUAGUAAGACUAAGAUGCGAAGUAAGAGGUGCUCGGUAUAGUAAUAUCGGGUACCCGUCGCGGCCCCUAGUUGGGUCGUGACAGGAAUCACUUAGGUUCUAACCAUAACAGACUUAGUUUAAAUAGGCUUUGUGUUCUUGUUUUAAUUACUUUAUUUGUUGUUAAUUGUUUUUACAUGCUAUUAAUUGUUUGUUUGAUAUAAAUUGUUUACGUGUUACUGUUUUGAUAUAAACUGUCAUCCCGUAUCACUUUUCUCCACAUUUGGAAAUUCACACUAUCAUACGUACACGCGAGGUGUGUUUUGCGCACCCGCAUAUUUCUUUCAAAAUUCCAAAUUUUAGGAGAGUUGGCAUAUGCGCGGGUUGUCCGGAUUGUCCGUGUGACCGUGUAGCCUUCGCACUCGAGUUGUCUGCUCGGGAACCUUGCAUCUAGUGAACCCACUCUUAGUCAACCUAGAGUAGAGCUAAACCAAUACCCUUUAUUAUGAGCAUACAUUUCACGACCUAGGAGGUUUAAUACCCUUGGUGUAUUAAUCCCAUUAGAUGACUUUACCCAAAUGUCCAAGUGGAUCCACGACCCCAAGUGACACUAAUCAUACUUUAUGUGCAUGUUUGAAGGAUAAUUGUGCCUAAAUAUUGACCAUUUUCUCUAACUAAUUAAACUUUUGGGAGGAGAUAACGACUAAAUUUUUAUGACAGGUAUGAAGACCUUACAUUAGAGUACACCUCGAUCAACAACGAAUGAGAAUCGACGACAUCUCAAAAUGGAGCCAAGAAGUUUAGACAUGGCAAACUUGUAUCUACUUUACUUAGAUUAUGAAGUACUUUAUGUUGUAUUCAUUUGAUAUGCAAUAAAUAUUACACUACUUUUGUACUUUAUUUUGAAAAAUAGAAUUU